GGACUCUGGAGAGAUCCGUUAAAUCGGACGCCGAAGGAGCAAGCUCACAAUCCAUUUCUGGACAGUUUAGAGUGAAACUCUCAGGCAAAAGGACAGAGGAGA
rnacentral:ncRNA from 1 species